AGCUGAGAAAUCAUUAAACUUCAAAAUAGCCUAAAAAACUGAAAAAAGCCUAAAUUAGGCAAGCUAAUUUAGGUUAGCUUAAAAUUAGCCAGAACAGCUAGCAUGUAGUUUAAAUAUUGCCUAAACUGCAAAAUAGCCUAAAAAACCUUAAAAAGGUCUAAAUUAGCUAAAACAGCUAGCAUGUAGCUGAAAUAUUGGCUAAACUCCGAAGCAGCCAAAAUUAAAUCUAAGACCUAGACUCAAUUCAGUCUUAUAGAAAUGUUCAGUUAUGUCGGUAAAAUUGGACUACAUCUUUCCUGUGUAGUGGUUACCUCUCACUUCAAAGCCACAAGGUGGUGGUUCAAAUCCCAGCUAGGUUCUGUGUGUAGAGUUUGCACGUUCUCCCCAUGCAUGUGUGAGUUUACCCCGGACACAGUCCAACGACAUACUUUACUCGAUUGGUGAAUCUAAAUUGUCCUUAAGGUGUGAGUCUGUGUGACCCUGUGAUGGACCGGCAAACCGUCCUGGGUUUACUCUGCUUUUGCCCAACAAGAGUCCUCUUGAUACAGACAGGAAUUAAGAAAUUUUAGAAAAUGGUCAGAUGGGUUACAUCAUCAAAAAGUUUUUUUUCUUGAUUUGAUGCUUUUCUUCCAUACUUUGUUUAGUUUACAGUAUUUAUGGUAAAUUGGUGCUUCAUGCAUUUGAUAAAUUGAGUUAAAUUUGUCAUAUAAUCAGGGAUAGACGCUUAAGUCUUCUUGGUUUCUUCAACAUUGAGUGUUCUCUGUCCCUAUGACUCUUUCAUGUGGAUACUUUUCAUUAAUUCAAAGAAUUUAUAAAUCUAUGGAAGUAUUAUGGACUAUAAAGAUGCUAAACUGACUGAGUAAGCAGUGUGAGUUCAGAAUACACCAGAAGAGGUCGCCCUUGAACACUAACUGGCUUCUACGGCUUGACGUUGACAACCACAUCCCGACAAGAAGACUGAGAUGAGAGCUGGACUGUUGAUCAUUCUUGUGUUUGCUGCUCUUUAUUUCAGAAUGUGGCGAGUAUAAGGAACAGAUAACGACGUUGACCUUGAAGCUACCAUUAUCAACCGUGCGGGACAUAACAAAAAACGUGAGCUAACACUUCUGCGGUUUCUUACACAUGACUAUGACUCAGCCUUUCAGCUUCAUAAAAAAAAAAAAAAACUGCCAGAGAAAAUGAUACUAGCGUUAGCUGCAAAACCUGCUAACAAAUCACUCCAAACUGACAUUUCUUUUUGUUCAACUCUAGAACCAUUUUAUAGACUCUAAACUUGAUCAGUCUAUUCUAUAAAACACCAGGUAUUUUAACAGAUUUCAUGAAUUUGCUGCAUAAACUUUAACAAAGCAGUAAUGAACAUGAAGCGUGGAAUUUUUGGAAUGACUUCUAUUAUCAAACAUGUUUCUACAGGAAGGAGAAACUCGGUUAAAUGUUAUCAUGACUAAACAAGAUAAUCUGCUCUAUAAAAGUUCUAGGGUCAUGGAGGGACAAUUGAAAUCUAUGCUUUCUCUGAGCUCCAUAUUGGUUCAUUCAUAAAUCCAUCCAGUCAUAACAGGAUUCUGUUGAGCCCAAUGGAUUUUUUAUUUUGAGAAAAUCAAUAUUUUUUGCCAGAAUUUUUAGAAUUUUGAUUACUUAGUUUUCUAUGUAUCUGACCACUACUAUCACUUUAGUAUGUAUAUUUUUAAAAUAAAUAUAUUUUCUUUCAUGAUUCACAUUUCAUCAAUACUUUCAGUCUACUUCAUCACUUUUGGGGUAACAGAGAGUUACCCUCUAUAUCAAGGCCCGACUAUAAACAGUCUAUUUCUAUUUACUUGAAGAACUAUAUUCGAAAUGAGCAUGGAGGCGGUGGGAAGGUCCUACCUGUGGGGGUCAGGGCGCUCUCCGACCGGGGACGCCCGCAGCUGCUGGAGGCAGAGCAGGCUGAUGCAAUAGACGCUGAGCGGGAGGAAGGAGCGCAUCUCCGGGUCCACUUCACACCUUCGGUCACGGAGGGAGGGGGCACUUUAAUGAAGAAGAGCCUGAUGCUGGAUUUGGAGCUUCACUGCAAAAAAAAAAAAAAAAAAAAAAAAAAAAUGUUGGAGUUGGAAUAAUCGAUUUUAAAACUUACCUACCUAUCAUUCAUUUAUUAAUUCAUUCAUUAAAACAAA